rnacentral:rRNA from 1 species
GACGAACGCUGGCGGCGUGCUUAACACAUGCAAGUCGAGCGGAGCGGCGGACGGGUGAGUAAUGCCUAGGAAUCUGCCUGGUAGUGGGGGAUAACGUCCGGAAACGGGCGCUAAUACCGCAUACUAUCAGAUGAGCCUAGGUCGGAUUAGCUAGUUGGUGGGGUAAAGGCCUACCAAGGCGACGAUCCGUCACUGGUCUGAGAGGAUGAGCAGUCACACGGGAACGGAGAAACGUACCAGACUGCUACGGGAGGCAGCAGUGGGGAAUAGUGCACAAUGGGGGAUACCCUGCUGCAGCAACGCCGCGUGCGGGAUGACGGAGUUCGGGUUGUAAACCGCUUUAAGCCAUGAAGCGGUAGUGGCAGAAGAAGAACCGUCUAACUACGUGCCAGCAGCCGCGGUAAUAC